UUAAGUUCACAGUGAGGGCGUCUACACCCAGGCAUCACCGUGCCCCUGCCUAUCUCCCCACGCGCGGCUUUCUCCCCCACACGCUGCUUUCAACGCCGGUAGCCGCACACCAAUUCCUCCCCACGCGUUGCUUUCUCCCCACCAAUGGCGCCCUUCCCCAACGGCUGCCGAGAUGCACACGUUGUGGUUGCCGCCCUCUCCCCAAAUCCUCGCUCGCCUUCAACGCCGGCAGCCGCACCACAAAUUCCUCCCCAUGCGUUGCUUUCUCCCCACCAACGACGCCCUUCUCCAACGCCUGCGAACGCCAACGCGCUUCCCCAAUCGUUGCUCCUUCGACUAGGUGCUUCAGUAGAAGGUACGAGCCCGCCAUCUUUUCGACUUAUCCGUGCGAGAUGUCCAUGCUUGAGGUAGCUCUAUGUCGAGGGAAAGCGAGUGCUCCUCUCCCAGCCUAACCUCCUCUGAAUUCACGUCCCCACCUUCUCUUAUUUAUCCUACCUGGGUUGAUGUCAUUUAAUUCCUUCUCCUUUUUGUCUGGGACGUCAUCCCAUAUCUCAGCAUCGUGCUCUCCCCGAUGUGGAUGGGGGAAGGUAAUUUGUUUUUUUCUUCGUUAAGAAUCGCUAGACUCUAGCCUCCGGCCUCUAGGAAAAUCUAAAAAUGAUGUAUUUAAUUCUGCAUUUUUGUUUGCUUUGCUACCUCUACGAGAUUUUCCAUGGUAGGAUAGCUUGUGAGAGCUACUCGAUGAGCUGGCCUUAGAUCAUUAUAUCUAUUAGCACAUACAAAAAGGUAAUUUAAGUGCAAAAUAUGUUUUCAUAUUUGUAUUGCUUACUAAGUACUAACAGCUAAAAAUGGAAAAAGUGGAAGGUCUCUAGGAAGUACAAAAAUAUUGGUACAUGUGUCACCAUGUACAACCAAUCUAGGGCUAAUUAUGUAUAUCAUUUAGAAGGAAAUGUACAUAGCUGAAUGAGUUCCAAAAUACUGCUCAUAGUUUGGCAUAAAUUAUAGGCAUCCAUAUGUUAUAACAUUUGAGUCACUGUUAACUUGAGUGUUAGCUAGACUAAUGCAGUACUGAUUUAUCAGAUAUAAAGGGCAUAUGACAAAAUAAAGAAAGAGGCACUGAUAUUCAAAUGUGUGAACAGUCACAUAUAUUAUGUAUCUUAGUAUGGAAAAUAUAUUUUCACUGCAUUCUACAUUCAGACCAGUUCAUAUCAAUGUUCAAAUAAAUUUCAAGUCAUAAUUAAAAGAUGCAGAUUAAAGGUGAGGUGACUUGAUAUCAAUUUUACAUAAAAAAACUCCAAGUAUCUAGAUUUAGGAUGACAAAAACUCAGGUUCAAGUGUUAGGUCGUGAGCUUCAUUGUAGUAAUAAUGGUUGUUUCAUAAUAUAGGUUUCCCAAUAUCUACAAAACUGAACACACCCUAUCAUCUGCACCAACAAGCAGCCUAGCAGCAGUCCUCACCCAUCAGCAAUUCAGCAUGCAUCUGGAAGACUACGUGUGUCUACGUCUGCUACUGCUGCCGAGGUGUCUACUCUCUUGGGAUCAGGGGAAAUGAUUGAAAGAAUGGAAGGAUCUAUGAAUUGUCAAUGUCCUCAGAAGAAUGGAUAACUCAUGUGUUUCAGUGUGGACCUCAUCCUUUUCGGUUCCACCAGCUACCUGAAUUUGACCAACUAAAGGAGAGCUACCACAUACGUCUCAUAGGCCACAAUGAACGCCGGAGGAGGCCGCCUCCUGGACCUCUUGUAUCACGCUACGGUCAUCUUGUUGCGUUGUUUGGUGGUGACAAAAGCUAAUUUUACCUUAUGUCAUUGAAUAUCUUCAUCUAAUGCAUACUAUGAACAUCAUGAAGUCACUACCAGGGGUGAGAAUGUUUCUGCUCCAUUUAUGAUAUUUGAGUCCACUGGAUCCCCCAGAUAUACUGAGAGAGGUAUGUCCUCUUUAGUUGGGGUUUUCUACAUGUGGGUCGAUGGAUGCAUUAUCUACACUUGAUCUUAAUAAUCUAGAAAUUCUUGAUGAUGCGGGCCACUGAAAAUGCUAUUUUUCAAAUGGGAAAUUAUAUUCUCUCAUAGUGAGCACAUCAUGUGGUAUUGCUCAUUGUGAAACACUUCUGGCUAUUUUGGCUGACAUGUAUUGAAAGGAUUGGUGUUGUUUUAGAUUAUAACAUGUGGCUGAGGUUUCCUUAUUCUUGUCUGCCACUAAAUGAACAAAAGAACUUCUUCAUGCCUUGAGUUGCUUAAGUGAGCAACCAUAUUGACUUAGGAUAGAAUUUUAACUAC